UCAGCUGAGACACGACUCUCCCUCGGCCGAAAUUCCCCGUGGAAAGAAAAUAAAAAGAUUCGCGGCAGAGACAGGCGGUCCUUAACGCUUCGUCGGCGAGCCGUUUCAGAUGGCUAGAGCGCGUUGUACUACGAUUAUGGUUACCUGAAGUUGAAAAAGUAGAAGAGGAUCCCGAAGAACAGGAAAAUUUCGACGAGGCCGUCCAUCGUGUUGUAUCGUGUUGAUCGCACAAAGCACCGCUCGCCGUGUAGAAAAAAAGCAAAUGAAUUCGAAAAUGCGUAACUGGCUGGCUUCAAGGCGGGCCGGCGCCGGCAGAGCGAGCGAUUAUGCUCGUUUAGUCCGUAAAACAGAGUCGCGAGCUCAACUGCUCGGGAACAUGAUGAUUUCGAUCGAAAUCGGCCGCCGUUUAUCUCGAGUCAGCCCGAUCACGGACGGUGACAAUCGCGUAAACUUUGAUCUUCGCGGCCGUCGCUCCUCGUGAGGAAACCACCUGGACAUGAUCCAUAGAUCCCCGAGAGAGCACGUUAUCGUCGGACGUAACGGAUGGCGCGCGAGGGCGCGCGCGCGCGCUUGCACUCGCAAUCGACGACUUUCGUCGUGUGGGGAACCUUUGUGAAACAACAACACCGUGAAACACGAAAUGCCGCCGCGCCGGUCGGGACAAUCGCCGACUUUCUACCGCGAUGCGUUAAAUAUCCGGCAACAAUAUUCGCAGAGGACAGUUCACUGACUCGUUUUAGCGUGUCGCGCACGGGUAGCAUCGUUGCAUCGCAGUCGCAACCGGCCCCUGAACUCAAGCAUCCGGAACCCUUUUGUGCCGUCAACGGCCGAGGAACGGUUCGCAAUCGAACAGGGCUAACAAUUAGUUGGAAACGCUCGUCGAUCGCUGGUUCGAACGCUCGAUCGCAGGCUGAACAUUGGCAACUCGGACAAUCGUUUACAGGCAAGUCGCGAAAGGGCUGGACAUGUUAACUCGUACAAGAAGUGCCUACGAUAGAGGUGAACCAGCGUGAUGAUCGGUAGCAUGUAAUACUCCCGGGUGGGUAAUACACUGAUGACCAUGUUAACUCGUAUGCAGAGACCGUGUUGGUGUAAGAACGUCCGGUGGUGUGAGUAUAUACAGGGUGAACCACCUGACACGCAUUCCUAAAUAUUUCCUAAGUCAAUCUUUACGAUAAUAGCCAAAAUUCUCGAUGGAAAAAGGAUUUACUCGUUGUUUUAAUCCCAAGAACGUUUGUUUAAAAGUUGUUAAAUGUUAUCCAUAACUCAUAAUGCGUAUACGGAUUACUUCAGCAAUACGUGUUAGAUUGUUCCUCUGUAUUUGCGAAACGAUCUCAUUCUAACGGGUCGAAUGGUACCGUUUUUGUUUCGCUCUCCAAACAGGAUACGCCUUAAGAAUGAUCUUGACGGUCGUAAUUUCGUGGAAGUCGAUAAUGGCACUGAAUCAUAGUGUAGCAUAAUGUUAACGGAGUUCGACAUAGCUUUUACACGUCGGAAUAAUGAUACCUUGAGUUCAUCUCGAAAUAUAGUCAUCGCAUUCCUAUGUUGUCCUGCGAUAAAUUGAGAAGAAUGGUUGUACAAGUUUGCAUAGAUUUUCUGGUUUGCAAUAAUACUCUGGUAAUCAGAGAAUCGUUUUAUAUCAAGGUCCUAAAAAGCAACAGAAUUUAUAUGUGAAUCCCUUUCAAGUUCAAAAGCAAAACUCUGAAUAUGUAUCUGAAAACUAUUCACACCUCCACUUUUUGUUACGAAUUCGUUACAGCGACCGUGAAAGAAGCAUAUUUUUCAAAUAUGCAAUUCGACCUUAUUAUUUCCUAACGUGCGACCUCUGUCGAAGUAUAUCGUGCGAAAACACAGUGAUUUACGACAUUCAUUCUUCCGCCGAUAGAUUUUCCAUUUCUUCCACUCCAUCCUUCUAAAAAAUGUUCCGAAAAAAAGUUAUCAUUCAACGCACUAAUUAAUAUUUCGCAAGACUGAAUUCGAUACCUGAUUUAUUCUAUACAAAAUUCAAUUCGUAUGCAAAUACAGCAAGACGUUAAAAUAAAUAUGUAGUCAUGGACCAACAAGUAAAUUGACACUGACAUUUGGAAUACGUAACCGGCAACACCACUUAUCCUCAGUCAUUCAUUCAAAAUUCCAUUGCGAGAUCAGUGAACUGUCGUCGAAUAUCGUCGCACGCAAGAUUUACAAUUACGUUCUAUAAACAACGAUUAUUCAAAUAUUAACAAUCACGGUAGACAGAAAGGAGUACCUUAUGUUCGGCGACGUUCCAAUUCCGUUACGUUUAACCGCGAAAAUUUAAAGCGAACAGUACGAACUGUGGCGCACUUUUUGGAGGAAGAACUAACAACGAAAAUCCGUUCAGUGUUGCAUGUAAUAUCGGACCGUGCAUGUAACACGGAAAAAAGGAACGAUUAUGCGAACCAAACGAACAGUUUCGGUUUCAUUCGGCAAACGAUGUGAUCACCGCAAAGGUCGAAUCAUAACUGCAUCCAUGGCACCAAGGAGAACACGUGGUACACGGGGCAAAAUAACAUUCCCCGCGAUGCUGACGAUUAAUCAGCAUGACACUUUUAAGUUUUCCAUCGAAUACACAACCCCCGUUUGUCUAUGACGUUAAGGGACGAUAAGAUUACAAUUUGGAAACGGUCUCGUGAUCAGUUACUGCGUUUCUCAGUCUCGAAAGAAUGUGAAACGUAGAUAAUGGAUGGUAGCUGGGCAUUCGGCAUAAACCGAUGGUGGCGUUACUCUCGUUUGUCCAAUAGGAUCUCACGAAAAAUGUUUGUUAGUUAAGUCACGAAAAAAUUCGUCUUGACUGCAUCUGCAUUUCCAUCGCGCACAAUGUCAGACAAGUCAACGAAACCGUUUUAAAACUUCACAGAAGACGAUCGGACACGCACUGAUCAAUGGCGACAUCGGACUCUGGUACCAUUCCAAAUAUUUCAUUUAUUCGAAACGUUUAAUAUUAAAAAUCCUACACGAUCGUUUUUGUGUAAGAAUAUCGAACGUGUAAAGGGAGCGUUCGCGAGAGAUUCUUUGUUUAACGUCUUUACGGGUUCGCACGAUGCACUCUACAGAAACAGCAUUCUCGAGCCACAAAAUCGGUGUGACCCGAUGUCCAGUUAGUUCCAUGCAACCCGUAAAUUAAUCCUAUUGAAAGCCAUUAACGUUUCAUGCUGUUCUUUAUUGUGUGUCAAUUUACAGGACCGCAUUAAGAUUCUCUGGCUGUACGUACAAGAAAGAUUCAUUGGUAGUCUGAGAACUCGCUAAACAACGAUUUCGUAUGGGACUACGCUUUCUUCUUUACGCGUUGCUUUCACAAUCAAAACGGUGAAUGUAGUCGCUUCGUUAUACACUUCGUUUUUUUAUGUUAUUUCUAUUCAAUCAAAUCAACCAUCGGUUAUAUUAAUGAUUAAAUGAAUUAUAUAAUUGUGUUUUUCUUUAUAAUAAAUGAUAUAACGUCAAAUAAGUAAAUGCCAAACCUUCAAACACGACCUUCUGCUAUUGGACAUUAUAGUAUAAAAAAUUUAUCUCCCAAUAAGUUUGUAACCUAAUAAAAUGAGCCCGAGAUGACAUCUAAUUGCGAUAUUCAUUCUUCAUUUAUAUACAAAUUAUAGCGAACUAGAAAAUAUAACGUAACAUGAAUAUACAUAACAUAACAAAAAAUAUUAAAAAGGAUGACAUAUUGUUUACGAAAUAUAUUUAGUUAUGUAUUAAGCUCUUAAUUAAUUACGACAAUGCUUACGUUUUCUAUUGUAAAUAUUCUUAGAUCAUAAUGGAAAAGUUGACUAUAGCGUGCCAAAAGUAAUCUAGCAUAUCUUCUUCAUCAGUCUGACAAGCGUGCAAAACAUAACCUUCUUCUAAAAAGUAUACCUUUUAGAUUCACGCAUAAAUCUUAUCUUACCUUCUGAUGAUAUUUGAAGAAAAUUCUUGUGUUCACAUGGAUCACUAUUCAAAAUAGAUUUAAUUAUUAAUAAAUACGUUAAAAUAUAGUACUUCGCACUAUAAAACAUACAAUCCUAUAUCUAUGCUAUUAUCUUCAUGCAUGCGUUCAACAUACUAUUGUGGACAUGCAAUGUUGUGUGCGACCGUCUAACAUGGCGCACGACAACAUAUAUAACAAAAACAGGUGCUGACAGAAUGAACACUUAUUUUACAAACUAGUUUGUAAUAACAAAUACUGUUCAAACGCUGCGAUAGUACAAUUACUGUGGUAAAGAAAAUUGUUUUGGCGGUG